rnacentral:rRNA from 1 species
GUGAGGAAUUUUCCACAAUGGGCGAAAGCCUGAUGGAGCAAUGCCGCGUGCAGGAAGACGGCCUUCGGGUUGUAAACUGCUUUUAUAGAGGAAGAUUAUGACGGUACUUUAUGAAUAAGGACCUGCUAACUACGUGCCAGCAGCCGCGGUAAUACGUAGGGUCCAAGCGUUAUCCGGAUUCACUGGGCGUAAAGAGUUCGUAGGUUGGUUAGUAAGUCUACUGUUAAAGACCCCAGCUCAACUGGGGGAAAGCGGUGGAAACUACUUACCUAGAGAGUGGUAGAGGCAGAUGGAAUUCUCGGUGUAGGAGUUAUAUCCGUAGAUAUCGAGAAGAACACCAAAGGCGUAGGCAGUCUGCUGGGCCAUCUCUGACGCUGAGGAACGAAAGCGUGGGUAGCGAACGGGAUUAGAUACCCUAGUAGUCC